UGAUGUGAGGGUGAUCUGGCUGUGCCAUCUGUGACACCAUUAAUGCCCACGGUUCAGCUGAUCUGGCUGGCUAGGCAGGGGUCCCUUUUGUCCCUCAGUGCUUCAUGUGUGCCCCACCCGAAGCUACACCCUCAGUCACAGAGGACGACCACUUCCCAGUAGAGGAGGGCUCUGUUACCUCAGUCAAGGAAGGAACACAACUAGUUGUGAUCCUCUGCUAUAGUUAAGAAAACUGGGUGAACUUGUUGUAGUCAUAUGAGUCCACAGAAAGCGAGUGGUAGACCUUUUUU
rnacentral:snRNA from 1 species